rnacentral:rRNA from 1 species
AUUGAACGCUGGCGGCAGGCCUAACACAUGCAAGUCGAGCGAGCGGCGGACGGGUGAGGAAGGUCAGGGAAACCGCCGGAUGGAGGGGGAUAACUACUGGACACGGUAGCUAAUACCGCAAACCAUCAGAAGUGCCCAGAUGGGAGUAGCUAGGAGGGGGGGUAAUGGCUCACCUAGGCGACGAUCCCCAGCUGGUCUGAGAGGAUGACCAGCCACACUGGAACUGAGCCCCGGUCCAGCCUCCUACGGGAGGCAGCAGUGGGGUCUGUUGCACAAUGGGCGCAAGCCUGAUGCAGCCAUGCCGCGUGUGUGGAGAUGGCCUUCGUGUUGUAAAGCACUUUCAGCGGUGAGGCGUUACCCGCAGAAGAAGCACCGGCUAAUUCCGUGCCAGCAGCCGCGGUAAUAC